GGGGGACGCGCCGGCGCGCAGGUGAUCCUUGCAAGAUCGCCCCGGAGGGUUCGACACCCUCGUCUUCCAC
rnacentral:tRNA from 3 species